rnacentral:rRNA from 1 species
UACGUAGGGGGCAAGCGUUGUCCGGAUUUAUUGGGCGUAAAGAGCGUGUAGGCGGCCAAACAGGUCAGCUGUGAAAACUCGAGGCUCAACCUCGAGACGUCGGUUGAAACCGUUUGGCUAGAGUCCGGAAGAGGAGAGUGGAAUUCCCGGUGUAGCGGUGAAAUGCGCAGAUAUCGGGAAGAACACCCGUGGCGAAGGCGGCUCUCUGGGACGGUACUGACGCUGAGGAGCGAAAGCGUGGGGAGCGAUCCGG